rnacentral:rRNA from 1 species
GACGAACGCUGGCGGCGUGCUUAACACAUGCAAGUCGAGCGGUAAGGCCCUUUCGGGGGUACGACGAGCGGCGAACGGGUGAGUAACACGUGGGUGACCUGCCCUCAGCUCUGGGAUAAGCCUGGGAAACCGGGUCUAAUACCGGAUAUGACUCCAUGACGCAUGUUGUGGGGUGGAAAGCCUUGUGCGGCUGAGGAUGGGCCCGCGGCCUAUCAGCUUGUUGGUGGGGUGAUGGCCUACCAAGGCGACGACGGGUAGCCGCCUGAGAGGGCGACCGGCCACACUGGGACUGAGACACGGCCCAGACUCCUACGGGAGGCAGCAGUGGGGAAUCUUGCGCAAUGGGCGAAAAGCCUGACGCAGCGACGCCGCGUGAGGGAUGACGGCCU